CUCUAGGAAAGUCCCAUUUUGUAGACGGCUGCAGUCUCUGAAUAUAUAAGUGGAACUAUGUCUUCUUGCUGCUCAGAGCAAAGCUGCUAUUUGGGGUCUGAGCCUCUCUCUGUGGAUGCCACUCAGAGAAUCUGGGUUGCUCCUUUCAGAUCUGCCUUUUUGUGUUCUCGUGGUCUCCCUGGGACAUUUGCCUCAGAUGCCCUAACACCAAGGAGUCCUUUGAUCAGAACAGUGGAGAGUGCAGCCCAGAAGCAGAUAUCUGGGCUCAGGGAGAUGCUCAGCAGGGAGAAUCCCAGAGCACCUGUUCCCAGCCCAGGGGUCACGUCACCUGCUACACCAUGGACAUCUACCACGUGACCCCUGGGAGUGAGGGCCAGUGCCCACAAAGUAGUUGCCAUCAUGUACCACGAGCUUCUCAAACCCUCUAAAGUGGCCAUCACUCUUCCUAUUGACCUUUCUCUUUGGGUUCAACUUUUUGUGGUUAGUUUUGUUUAUUA
ensembl:lncRNA